rnacentral:rRNA from 1 species
GUGGGGAAUAUUGGACAAUGGGGGGAACCCUGAUCCAGCCAUGCCGCGUGUGUGAAGAAGGCCUUUUGGUUGUAAAGCACUUUAAGCGAGGAGGAGGCUACCGAGAUUAAUACUCUUGGAUAGUGGACGUUACUCGCAGAAUAAGCACCGGCUAACUCUGUGCCAGCAGCCGCGGUAAUACAGAGGGUGCAAGCGUUAAUCGGAUUUACUGGGCGUAAAGCGCGCGUAGGUGGCCAAUUAAGUCAAAUGUGAAAUCCCCGAGCUUAACUUGGGAAUUGCAUUCGAUACUGGUUGGCUAGAGUAUGGGAGAGGAUGGUAGAAUUCCAGGUGUAGCGGUGAAAUGCGUAGAGAUCUGGAGGAAUACCGAUGGCGAAGGCAGCCAUCUGGCCUAAUACUGACACUGAAGUGCGAAAGCAUGGGGAGCAAACAGGAUUAGAAACCCCUGUAGUCC